ACGCUGGCGGCGUGCCUAAUACAUGCAAGUCGAACGAGAGCGACCGGUGCUUGCACUGGUCAAUCUAGUGGCGAACGGGUGAGUAACACGUGGGUAACCUGCCCAUCAGAGGGGGAUAACAUUCGGAAACGGAUGCUAAAACCGCAUAGGUUCUUGAGUCGCAUGAUUCGAGAAGGAAAAGAGGCUUCGGCUUCUGCUGAUGGAUGGACCCGCGGUGCAUUAGCUAGUUGGUGAGGUACGGCUCACCAAGGCCGUGAUGCAUAGCCGACCUGAGAGGGUGAUCGGCCACAUUGGGACUGAGACACGGCCCAAACUCCUACGGGAGGCAGCAGUAGGGAAUCUUCCGCAAUGGACGCAAGUCUGACGGAGCAACGCCGCGUGAGUGAAGAAGGAUUUCGGUUCGUAAAACUCUGUUGUUAGAGAAGAACAGCGCAUAGAGUAACUGUUAUGCGUGUGCCGGUAUCUAACCAGAAAGCCACGGCUAACUACGUGCCAGCAGCCGCGGUAAUACGUAGGUGGCAAGCGUUGUCCUGAUUUAUUGGGCGUAAAGCGAGCGCAGGCGGUCAAUUAAGUCUGAUGUGAAAGCCCCCGGCUCAACCGGGGAGGGUCAUUGGAAACUGGUUGACUUGAGUGCAGAAGAGGAGAGUGGAAUUCCAUGUGUAGCGGUGAAAUGCGUAGAUAUAUGGAGGAACACCAGUGGCGAAGGCGACUCUCUGGUCUGUAACUGACGCUGAGGCUCGAAAGCGUGGGUAGCAAACAGGAUUAGAUACCCUGGUAGUCCACGCCGUAAACGAUGAGUGCUAAGUGUUGGAGGGUUUCCGCCCUUCAGUGCUGCAGUUAACGCAUUAAGCACUCCGCCUGGGGAGUACGACCGCAAGGUUGAAACUCAAAGGAAUUGACGGGGACCCGCACAAGC
rnacentral:rRNA from 1 species